rnacentral:tRNA from 1 species
GCACUGGUGGUUUGGUGGUAGAAUUCUUGCUUUUUGUGCGGGAGACCGGGGUUUGAUUCCCAGCCAAUGCA